UAUUAGAUAGUUGGACAAAGAACCGUCGGUUGGUACAUACGUUGAGACCAGCGGGUGGAGGAUACGUAAAUAGUAGAUUGUUGACGUACAAGAACAUUUUAAACUGAGAAAAUAAAGGUAAAAGUAAAGCCAGAAAAUGAAUAUUCAGAAUUUAUAUUCAACGAAGGUGAUGAAAAGUUUGAAGUUUUAAAUAAUUGCAAGACAGAAUUUAAUACGGAUACGAAAACAUUCUGUAGAAGAAUUAAAUCUGAACCUUUACAACAUAAAAAUAUACAGAUAAAUAUUAAAGGAAAGUCAAUUUCCACGAACAACACAAACGGAUCCACCAUUUGGAGUCAUUCUGGUUAUAAAAUCGAAACAG